rnacentral:misc_RNA from 1 species
GAAUAUUACACCAACUCCGGUCACCGGUGCCGGCGCCGGCGUCGGUGCGGUUGCCGGAGCACUGGCGUUAGUGAAGAAGAAGAGAGGUAGACCAAGAAAAUAUGGACCAGAUGGAGUUGCAGUGCCGUCCGCGGCGGCGCUUUCGCCGAAGCCGAUUUCGUCGGCAGCUCCUGUGUCGUCGCCGGUGAUUGAUUUCUCAUCGGAGAAACGGGGGAAAAUCCGGCCGGUCGGAUUAUUUAGUAAGCCACAUAUGCCUAAGUUGGAGGUUGAAAAUUCAGGUGAAUGGGUCUCAUGCUCCGUUGGUGCUAAUUUUACGCCCCAUAUUAUCACCGUUAAUACUGGAGAGGAUGUCACCAUGAAGAUUAUAUCAUUCUCUCAACAAGGGCCUCGAGCAAUAUGCAUUCUUUCAGCAAACGGUGUAAUUUCAAGUGUUACGCUGCGUCAACCAGACUCUUCUGGUGGCACAUUGACGUAUGAGGGCCGGUUUGAGAUACUGUCAUUGACUGGAUCAUUUAUGCCAUCCGAGACGGGAGGAAUGAGAAACAGGUCAGGAGGAAUGAGUGUUUCUCUAGCAAGCCCUGAUGGACGUGUUGUUGGAGGUGGAGUUGCCGGUCUACUAGUUGCUGCUGGUCCGGUCCAGAUUGUUGUUGGGAGCUUCCUUGCUGGAAAUCAACAUGAACAAAAGACCAAGAAAAACAAAUUGGAGCCUAUUACAGCUGCUGUUGUUCCUAUUACUAGUCCAAAUAUUGAAGAACCAUGUAAUCACUCUUCAGCAAAACCUACUAUGCCCGCUUCCUCGAUUAACUGGUCAUCAUCGUUGGCAACUGAGUCGAGAAGUAAGACAGCUGACAUCAACGUAACGUUGCCUGCAUAGGAGGGUAAAAUCUUUCCGUUCUUAUUUGAUCCUUGAUCCUCACAUCCAUUUGUUGUUAUAACUUCUUUGUCAACCUCGUGUCCUCGAGCAUGUCAUUUUCCAGUUGAGGUAUGCUGUAUGCCUAGUAAUCCGAACUAGUUUUCGUUGUAGUUUUUUUCUUUCUCCUCUGUCGUUCGCUCGUUGUAGGAUUUUUAGUUGUAUAAUUGGUGUCAGAAAUGAACUUAUCUUAAGUUAAAGGCUUUAUGUUUAGUUUUAGCCAAGGUAAAUUGUUCAUCUCUCUUCAUGAAGUAUGCGAAACUAAUAUAAUU